GAAAAACACAUAACUUUACUUUAAAUAAUCAUUUUCUUAUGUAAAACACAUUGAUUUCUUUUUCUUAACAGAUACGAUCAACAGAAAUUUGUAAAAAGGAUCUCAUCUCUGGACUUAAUAAAUAAAGACCCAUUUAAGAGCUAAAUCUGACGCAGUGAUGAAAUCUGUAUGGUGUAUGUGGUUCACGAUGCUCGCAUCAUCUACACAUGAUUCUGGAGGUCGUGUGACUCGUGUCAAUGUAACGGAAAAUGAUGUUCAAGCAGAUAAAGUUCAUGUGGUGGAUAUCAACAUCUCCCUUAAAAAUGGGAUUGAUUUCUUGAAGGAAAGGCUGGUGUCAAAACCAUUUAGCAAGGCAACACAUCGUGACUUAAAGGAAGGCCAUUUGUCUUUAUAUUUAUCAAAUGGAACUAGUGCUCCAGGUGGAGUUUGGAAAAGCGAAACAGAAAUGAGAAACAGACAUGGUUCUGACUUCGAUAAUUUAGAAAAGAGAAAUAAUUUUCCGGAGGCAACACAUGUUACCAGCAUUUUAGAAGAUUGUAAAAGGGGCAGACAAUUUAAUCUGUGGUUCCGAUUGAUGUGUCAAAGGUUGUUAAAUGAAAGACAAUAAAAUAUCGUGCAGAUAGAUAUCAGAAUACUUACAGAAUAACGUCUCUUAACGUCAACAACCACAUGACUGUUCCCAUGUUAAGGUAGAACAUUCCACAGCUUAAAAGGUCCAACGUUGGACCGUUUGCAAAUCUGAUUCUAACAGUUACAUUGUGAUGACGACUUGUUGUCUCAGAGAUUUAUGACUUCAAAAGUUUGCAACAUUAAAUUUAUCUAAACAGUGUAAAUGAAUUAUGAAAGAGACAAUGAACCAUAAAUUCAAGACAUAACAAGCAUUUUGAAUAAUUAAUACAUGGUUGUGCUUAAAGUCCUUAUGCUGAGACCUUCGCUCCCCAAAGCACACGCAUCUACGUAUUUCAUAUCCAAAUGUAAACAACUAUUUAACAACUAUUUAUUUCUUUUGGGAUCAUGGAUUCCAUUCAAUAGAUGUGAAAUAUAAUUUUCCGCCUAAACAGCGUGAGAGGUGUUUCAAAUUUCAUUUACUCUCAUGCACAGACUCAGGCAAACCGAGUCUGCUAUCAUUCUGCCUGGUUGCUUCCAAUACUUCCAAACUGAUUACGGAUUUAGUUAAAACAUUUUUACAUGUAAUGUACUUUUCAACUGAUAUUUGUCUUUGCAACUACGACAAUUUGUUUGUAUGCCUGUCUCUCCAGCUGAACAAAAUAUAGUUCAGUCUUUUCAGAAGUGUUGCAUGUUUGUCUACAGUGGAUUCUACCUACAUGCCUUAAUGAGAGGUAAUCAACUCUCCAAGCGGAAGUACUGAACAGAUACUUGAAUAUACUCCAUGCUCCCAACGAACCUGACUAUAUAACAAACAGUUUUAAUACGGAACGACUAUUGACGUGAUACGAUGGAUAAACACCUUAAGAUUGCAGCUGAUAUAUAAAGUUUUUUAAAUGGGUAGCCCAAAACAUUCGUGUGGUUGAUAAAGUUGAAUUAAAUGGGUACUAAGCAAUUCAUGUAGCUGAUAAUAUUUUUCUAAAUAGGUAGUCAACAAUACACAUGUAAUUGAUAUUUAAAGGCUGUUUUUGUGAAAUGGGCAGUCAACGAUAGCCUUAUAGUUGAUAUCUAAACUUCGUUCAUGUUAAAUAAGUGGACAAUAUAAAUAAAU
rnacentral:lncRNA from 1 species